GAGCGUCAUUACAACCCUCACGCCUAGCGUGGUAUUGGGCUUGCCCUGUAGGGCCUGCCUCAAAAUCAGUGGCGGCACUCUCUGGUACCCUAAGCGUAGUAAUACUUGUCGCUUCUGGGCUCUAGGCAGCGGCCUGCCAGCAGCCCCCCCAAACUUUCUAGGUUGACCUCGGAUCAGGUAGGGAUACCCGCUGAACUUAA
rnacentral:misc_RNA from 1 species